AUGGAUCGCCCGCCACAUCUUGACAUCGACCUCAACGAGCCGCCACCGCCGUCGCCCCCGCAUGAGUUCGCUGCCCCCGUUGCUCCUCCUCCGCCGCCGCUGCCACCCGCUAACGUGCAGGCCCACCUGCUGCUGCCGCACCAUGCCCGCGAGCUAGCGCUGGCGUACCACCGUGCGGAAUCCUGGAGGUUAGCUGCUGCUACGGCCAGUGCGCCCGCGACCGCUGGUUCAUCGCUGGAGGUGCCGCCAUCGCCGGUUCUCCAGUCGCCCGCUUUUGCUCCUCCGCCGCUGCGGCCGCUGGUUCACCGGUCACCCGCUUUUGCUCCUCCGCCGCUGCCGCCGCCGGUUCUCCAGUCGCCCCCUUUUGCUCCUCCGCUGCCGCCGCCACGGCCACCCAAGCUCCCGCCUCCCGCCAACGUGCAGACUCAGCUGCUGCUCGCGCACCAAGCCGGCGACAUACCGCUGGCGUACCACCGUGAGGAACUGUGGUGGAGGUCGGCCAUUGCGGGCGCGACGGCAGGUUCGUCGGCGGAGGGGCUACCUCCAGCGCCGGUGCAGCACCCGGGAGUAGCGGGGUGGGGCGGGAACCAGUGCGCGUCCUGCGGCCUUCCCGAGCUGCCGGGAUCCACCGUCAUCUGCGACGCGUGCGAACGUGGGUUCCACCAAGCCUGCGUCCACGUCGCGCGGCGGCCUCCGGUGGGCGUGAACGAGGGGUGGAUGUGCCCGGAGUGUGCGACAGGACCCGUGCCGCUCGACAUCACCAGGCAGUUAUCGAAUUUUAUGCAUAGCUCUAAGAAGUACAUCGAUUCUGCGCCUGCCGCCGUGCGCGCUAGUCGAUCGCCAGACGCCACCGAAGGACACCGCGGCGGCGCCAUGACAGCGAGUCCCGCCGUCUCAGCCCGUGUAGAUCCUGUUGCCGCGGUGCCGAUCCAUGCACCAUGCCAUCAUGGAGUACACGAGCCCGGCGAUCACUUAAUUUAUUCCUCCAGCAAUGGAGUCUGA
rnacentral:rRNA from 1 species